CACAGAAAGCGCUCGUACACGAACCUACUCAUCUAAGCAAUAACACCCAAGUCACUUAGGGCCGAGUGGACGCGGGGUUGAACUCAUUUACAUCAUCGACCAACCACAAGGGAUUGUUCUGAUUCAUGGAAUUACGUAUCAUCAUCUGAAACCAAAUAACCCAUUUAUUUAUUUCACUUAUCUCAAUUUCCUCCCUCUCUUUUUUAACUUUCUUCCUCCGCUCUUCACUCUUUCUCAUUGUUUAACUUCGUAAUGCUAAAAGCUAUUCAAAUUCUUGGUUGUUCAUCUGGGUUUAUCUCUCAAAGAUUAAAGAAGCCUCAUUCUGGUAAUGGGUGUUCUUUAAUUUCUUCAAAAGGAAGCGACACCUCAACUUCUUUGUUUCUGCAUCCCUUCUGGACUCCAAAAACUCUGUCUUUUAAAUUGAUUCGAAUGUUCUCGACUCAGUCCGAGUCCAACUCAAAUGCUCCUUCAUCCUCUUCUUCUUCUUCUUCUUCUUCUUCGGUUGCAGUUCAUUCCGCUGGCAAUGUUCAUAAGAUCAAAUUCUGUCAGUGGUGUGGUGGCCCAGCAAAGCAUGAAAUACCUGAUGGAGAGGAGAAGAUAAGAGCUAUUUGCACUCUUUGUGGAAAAAUUGCCUAUCAAAAUCCAAAAAUGGUUGUCGGUUGCCUCAUUGAGCAUGAGAAAAAAAUCCUACUUUGCAAGCGAAACAUUGAACCUUCUUAUGGUCUUUGGACUCUUCCUGCUGGUUACCUGGAAAUUGGGGAGUCAGCUGCAGAAGGGGCAGUCAGGGAAACUUGGGAAGAAGCGGGGGCUGAAGCGGAAGUGGUGUCCCCUUUUGCACAACUUGACAUUCCUCUUAUUGGCCAAACUUACAUAAUCUUCUUAGCAAAGCUGAAGAAGCCCCACUUUUCACCAGGACCAGAAUCAUCCGAGUGCUGUCUCUUUGAAUUGGACAAUAUACCUUUUGAUUCUUUGGCAUUUUCUUCAAUUUUUGUUACGUUGAAUUUGUACAUUGAAGAUGUUAAAUCUGGAAAAAUAAAGUUUCACUAUGGUACCAUUAACAAAAGGCUUGGGACAGGGCCGUCUGAUAUUCGUGCCUUUACUCUUGACUAUCAUUGGCAGGCAUGAGAUACAGUUGAUUCCUUUACCACAUCUUGUCCAGUGAAUGCCUGUAAGGAAUUUUGUUGAUAAUCAAUGCUGGCAUUCAUGUCUUUUUGUUUCUAAUCUGCUAAAAUUUCUAUAUGGAUCUGAUUUUUGAGCAGAAUGCAUAUUGUCAGAGUCUCACACAUGACUUUAUGGUGUUAAGGAUGAGUCAACCACCCAUGUUUAUGAAGUGAAAAGAACUUGGAGGAAGCAAGUGUAUCUACUGAAAUUGGUAAUGGAUUAUUUUGCUAACAAAAUCUGUAUAUAGACUUGUUUCUGCAAACAUGCUUCUUGAUCAAGGAAUUUACUAGAUUAAUGAUGUAUGUUGCAAAUAUUCCAUUUUCUUGUCCCUGCAAACUUGGUAGUUGUAUUGUAAAGAGGAAUGGUAGGAGAGAUUUUGAGACUCUUAAAAGCUUGGUUUAUUGUAAAGGUGAUUUCAAAUGCUUCGGUUGACCUGAGAAGCAACUGCCUUUAGUUUGUUCCUUUUACAGUUUUUGGAGGCUCGGGAAAGAGAACUUCGAUCUAACUAUACUUACUUUGUGUAUAAAAUACUCAAUUGAUUGGUUGGACAAGAGAGAUUUGUAAUUUCUACUGUUCAA